CGGAUUGUGGCGCAGUGGGUAAGGAACUCGGUUUGUAACCGAAAGGUUGCAGGUUCGAUUCCCGGGUAAGUGA
rnacentral:tRNA from 1 species